GGUGCCCGGCGUCUGAACCGCUGGGUGAAUGGAGAAAACGAAGAAAGCCUGUUGUCCUGUUGUUUUUUUGAUAAAGAGCAAAUACCUACGCAUGUGAAACUUGGUUAUGUAAGACACGCUGAAAGAGCUUUCAUCCCCAAACCAUUGCAGUGUUAAGAAUUGUAAAGGAUUUGGCCAUGUUUCAGUAAGGCGCUACAGAGGGUAGUGCAUACAGCCCAGUACAUCACUGGGGCCGAGCUUCCUGACGUCCAGGACCUCUAUACCAGGCGGUGUCAGAGGAAGGCCCUAAAAAUUGUCAGACUCCAGUCACAGACUGUUCUCUCUGCUACCGCACAGCAAGUGGUACCGGAGCGCAAAGUCUAGGACCAAAAUGCUUCUUAACAGCUUCUACCCGCAAGCCAUAAGACUGCGGAACAAUUAAUCAAAAGACCACCCGGACAAUUUACAUUACCCCCACCCCCCCUUUUUGUUUUUAGACUGCUGCUACUCGCUGUUAAUUAUCUAUGCAUAGUCACUUUACAAAUGACCUUGACUGACCUGUACAGUACAGUACAGCUGGUUGGCAGCAGGUUUCCCACUAGAGCCUUCAGACAUGCAGAGGGGGACCUGAAGACAAGUACGGUUAUGAAGAUAGUUAUUGCCACACGCCCCUCUGUGCCUUCCCUCCACCUCCCUUCUCUCUCCAGAUAACCAGCUGCUUCUCCAUCUGAGUC
rnacentral:lncRNA from 1 species